ACGAACGCUGGCGGCGUGCUUAACACAUGCAAGUCGCACGGAAAGGCCCUGCUUUUGUGGGGUGCUCGAGUGGCGAACGGGUGAGUAACACGUGAGUAACCUGCCCUUGACUUUGGGAUAACUUCAGGAAACUGGUGCUAAUACCGGAUAGGAGCUCCUGCUGCAUGGUGGGGGUUGGAAAGUUUCGGCGGUUGGGGAUGGACUCGCGGCUUAUCAGCUUGUUGGUGGGGUAGUGGCUUACCAAGGCUUUGACGGGUAGCCGGCCUGAGAGGGUGACCGGCCACAUUGGGACUGAGAUACGGCCCAGACUCCUACGGGAGGCAGCAGUGGGGAAUAUUGCACAAUGGGCGGAAGCCUGAUGCAGCAACGCCGCGUGCGGGAUGACGGCCUUCGGGUUGUAAACCGCUUUCGCCUGUGACGAAGCGUGAGUGACGGUAAUGGGUAAAGAAGCACCGGCUAACUACGUG
rnacentral:rRNA from 1 species